rnacentral:lncRNA from 1 species
AUUAGUCAUUAGGGUGGCCUAGUCCAGUAUGGCUGGUGUCUUUAUAAAAGGGAAAAUUUGGACACAGAGACAAAGACACAGGGAGAACACCAUGUGACGUUGAAGUCAGAGAUCAGAGUGAUGCAUCUACAAGCCAAGGAAUGCCAAAAAUUGCCAGCAAACCACCAGAAGCCAGGGGAGAGGCACAGAAUAGAUUCCCCCUCACUGCACUCCAGGUGUCAACCCUGCCAGCACCUGGUUCACAAACUUCUAGCCUCCAGAACUGUGAGACAGUAAGUUUCUGUUUCUUAGCCACUCAAUUGGUGGUACUUUUUUACAGUAGCCCUAGUAAAGAGAUACAGAACUCAGUGGUGGGAUGGAAGCAGGGCAGAGGAGUGGAGAGGUAGUGGGUGAGGACCAGGAACCUGGCCCCACCAAAUGCCCAAGGGUGGUUGGUGGCAGGCCUGGUCUGGGCCAAGCCAGAAGCCAUCUUUGUCCAAGGGUGAAUGAGGUCUUGUCACAGACAGAGAUGACAUGCCGUCACAGGGAUGAGUUAUCUUUGGCUCUGGGCCAGGAAUCCAGCCGGGAACUGAAGGGAAGGGAAGCAGGCUGCAGUCUUGGGGGAAGGAACUGGUAAGACCUGGUUAUUAUGGUGGGCUUCAGAGCAGAGAUGUCUGAGGCUCACCAGUGACCAUCUCUUCUGCUUAUAUUCCACUAGCAAAAACUAGUCAUAUGGACCUACUCAGAUUCAGGGGCCUCUGGGAAUGUUGUCUAGCUUUGUUUCAAGUGCCCCUUCUGUCUGACUAGUUCUUGCUGAUGGAAUGUAAGGAGAAGAGAUUGGUGCUGCCUCUGAGCAGAGGUAGUUAAGAGGGAAUGUGCCCUUUCCACACUUUGUCUCCUUUCCUGUCUAAUUGGCUGAGUGGAUGGGACUCAGAGAACACAGCCUUGACAUAAAGGGGACUUGGAGGCUGGGCAUGGUGGCUCACGCCUGUAAUCCCAGCAUUGUGGGAGGCUGAGGCAGGAGGAUGUCUUAAGCCCAGGAGUUCAAGACCAGCCUGGACAACAUGGCGAAACCCCAUCUCUACAAAAAUGCAAAAAUUAGCAGGGCUUGGUGGCAUGUGCCUGUAGUCCCAGCUACUUGGGAGGCUGAGGUGGGAGGACUGCUUGAGCCCAGGAGGCAGAGGUUGCAGUAAACUCCAUGCCACUGCACUCCAGCCUGGGCAACAGAGCCAGACCCUCCCUGUCUCACAUACACACGCACAAAAAAAAAAAAAAAAAAAAAAGAAAAGAAAAAAAGAGGGACUUGGGGCCAGGAUCCUGGAGUCCUUGCUUGGGGAUAACUUCCUGGAGAGCUGCUCAGUCAGCUAUACCCUUGGGAGUCUUUUGUUGAGGGAGAAAUAAAUGUCAUUUUGCAAAGCCACUGAUAUUCUGUGGUUAUCACGGCAGUUUAGAGAGGAAGGAUGGGGGAAAGCUGGGUUGCGCUCUAGGCCUUGACACUUCCUGCCUUUGUAGUGUUAGGCAAACAUGGCAACCCCAGAAAACUCAGCUGCCUCAGUUUUAAGGCAUGCAGGGUCUUUGUGAGGACCAUAUAAGCCACGUGGAGGGGUCUAGACCAAGCAUAGUGCUUGGAAGAAAGGGCGUGUGUGCUAAUGAUUUAUGUCUCUUUUCUUUCUGAGAGUCUUGCUCCCCAACACCAGAGGUGAGACCACCUGGAGUGACCGUCUCUUGACUAAAUAAAAAACCUCUUUCCAAGAAGAUCUAUCCUCCAAGAACCACCUGGAUUCCCCAAGAGAUUCUGGGGUCCCCAAACCUGACCUUGGAGCCUCUUUGAUUUGCAAGAUUGCUUAUUUCCAUUUUAAAGGAAGCAUUUCUAAUUAAGGAAAGCUCUGGCUAUACAUAGGAGAGAAUAGUAUAAUGGGCCCUCCUACCCCAUCAUGGAUCACCCAGCUUCAACAAUUACUAACAUUCUGACAAUCAUGUUUUAUCCAUCUCCUCCCCAGUUUGUUGGAAUAUUUUAAAACAAGUCCCAGAUGUUGUAUCAUUUCUCCUGCAAAAGUUGUUUUACUUCUCCAUAGGUAAAAUAACUUAUUAAAAACAUAACCAGAAUGUUAUUAACAUACCUACACAAAUGAACAAUAAUUCCUGAAUAUUAUCUAAUGUCAGGCCAUGUUCAAUUUUCUCCAAUUAUCUCAAAAAAUGUCUCUUUAGAGCCAGCUUGUUUGGAUCAGCAUCCAAAUGAAAGUCCACGUUUUUCAUUUGGUUGAUGCAACUUGCAAGUCUCUCUUAAUCUAUACCAUUUCUCCCUCCUUUUGAAACCAUGCUCUUUGUAUAUUAAAGAGUCUAGUAGAAAGAAUUUUACAGUCCUUGAUACAUGUUAGAAAGCUGAUUUCCAGGAGGGUUGUAACAAUUUGCGCCUCUUCCAGCAAUGUGAGGGAGUGCACAUCUUGUCAUCCCCAGCACUGAAUAUCAUUGCAAUUAAGAAAAAAUCAAUUUGAUAGGUGAAUGAUGGCAUCUUAUUGCUGUUUUGACUUGCAUUUCUGUGAUUAUAUGCAUGAUUGAACAUUUUUUUCACAUGUAUAUUGGCUGUUUGUAUUUCUUCUUUUGUGAAUUAUCUGCUUUGACCUUU